rnacentral:rRNA from 1 species
GACGAACGCUGGCGGCGUGCUUAACACAUGCAAGUCGAACGGAAAGGCACUGCUUUUGUGGGGUGCUCGAGUGGCGAACGGGUGAGUAACACGUGAGUAACCUGCCCUUGACUUUGGGAUAACUUCAGGAAACUGGGGCUAAUACCGGAUAGGAGCUCCUGCUGCAUGGUGGGGGUUGGAAAGUUUCGGCGGUUGGGGAUGGACUGGCGGCUUAUCAGCUUGUUGGUGGGGUAGUGGCUUACCAAGGCUUUGACGGGUAGCCGGCCUGAGAGGGUGACCGGCCACAUUGGGACUGAGAUACGGCCCAGACUCCUACGGGAGGCAGCAGUGGGGAAUAUUGCACAAUGGGCGGAAGCCUGAUGCAGCAACGCCGCGUGCGGGAUGACGGCCUUCGGGUUGUAAACCGCUUUCGCCUGUGACGAAGCGUGAGUGACGGUAAUGGGUAAAGAAGCACCGGCUAACUACGUG